rnacentral:rRNA from 1 species
GGAUCUGACCAUUCCACCCAGAAUGUGCCGGAUCCCCUCUGACCAAUGAGGCUAAGCAGGGCUGGCCCUGGUUAGUACUUGGCUGGAAUUGUAACCCAUAGGAAAUGUGAUCAA